rnacentral:rRNA from 16 species
GAUAUCUGCCCAGUGCUAGAAAGUUAUUUUAUGUGGUGAAAGCUAUGUAAAUAAGCUUUAGUAAACGGCGGUUGUAACUCUAACAAUCCUAAGGUAGCGAAAUUCCUAGUCAAUUAAUUGUUGACCUGCAUGAGAGAUAUAACGACUUUUCCACUGUCUCAAGAGUGAAUUCAGUGAAAUUAGAUUUUGCGUGAAGAUACGCAAUAACGGCAGUUAGACGGAAAGACCCCAUAAACCUUAACUAUAAUGUUAGAAUGUUUUUACAUAUAGCUUGUGUAGUAAUAAGUGGUAGUCG